GGUCUGUGGUUCAGCGGUAGAGCACUCGCCUCGCAUGUGCGAGGUCCUGGGUUCGAUUCUCAGCACCA
rnacentral:tRNA from 1 species